CACGUAGGGACCAAGCGUUGUCCGGAUUUAUUGGGCGUAAAGAGCUCGUAGGCGGUUUGGUAAGUCGGGUGUGAAAACUCAGGCUUAACCUGAGACGCCACCCGAUACUGCUAUGACUGAGUCCGGUAGGGAGUGGGGAAGUUCUGGUGGUAGCGGUGAAUGACGCAGAUAUCAGGAAGAACACCCGUGGCUAAGGCGGCUCUCUAGUACGGUACUGACGCUGAGACGCGAAAGCGUGGGGAGCGAACAGG
rnacentral:rRNA from 1 species